UACAGAGGUCUCAAGCGUUGUUCGGAUUCAUUGGGCGUAAAGGGCGCGUAGGCUGCGGGGCAAGUCGGGUGUGAAAUCUCAGGGCUCAACCCUGAAAAUGCACUCGAUACUGCUCUGCUUGAGGACUGGAGAGGAGACUGGAAUUCACGGUGUAGCAGUGAAAUGCGUAGAUAUCGUGAGGAAGACCAGUGGCGAAGGCGGGUCUCUGGACAGUUCCUGACGCUGAGGCGCGAAGGCCAGGGGAGCAAACGGG
rnacentral:rRNA from 1 species